UUGCUUAAUUCCCUUUUCUGUAAUGUACUGAGCUGUAUCUGUGAUGCAUAUACAAGCAGUUUCGUUUUUUGUCACAGAGCUGAAGCCCAUACUCAACAAAAUCCCUAUUUUUCAAAUUGUGUCAGAAUUGACUGCUUUUGAGUAACAUAUCAUUAUUGGCUUAGACUUCUUCUGGUACAAAUGCGUAGUGGUUUCGUGAUCCUGUUAAAGCAACUGUUCAGCAUUUCUUCACUGACCAUGGCUACUUCAAAUGCAUUAAGAUGGCAGAUGAAUGCAG